UCAUAUCAGACUAAAAACAUGUGUUACACAUGUAUGUAGAAUAGGGAUGGAUUGUGUAACUUUAUUAUUGAAACACAAACAUUGUGAAUUUGACAUUCCAGGAAGCCUAUUGAGUUAUGGAAGCACUGUUUUACAAGUUAUUUCCCCCAAACAGCAACAGAUAACCCAGCUAAGGUUGAUGAUCCAGCCAAGGAUGUGAAAUAUGCUGAACCAACAAUAGAUAACUUACGAGCACAGAAAGAUGAUGAAUUAGAGAGAUAUCGUCGUACAUCAGAGAGGCGAGCACAGAAGAAAGCACAGGAUGUUCAGUCUUAGAUAAUAGUCUGUGAUCAAUUCUGUCUUGUUCCACAUUCCGUCCAGUGUUUGCUGUUACAUAAUCCAUGGAUUAGACAUUUAUUGUCUAUAUACAGAUGUUAACUUUAACUUAUAGACCUUAUGCAGUUAGCUGCAAUUUAACUGACAAUACAAACUUCAUUUUUAGAUUUAAUAUAAUAAAUUAGAUCUGUGAACUGUAAAAAUAAGUGUGUUUUAUAGAAGUUGUAACUCAAGAGGUUCGUUGGAUACUUGACAUCAAAAGAUAACAUCUAUUUUGAGAUGUUUUUGAAAAAAAAAAUGAAAAAAAAAUGGAGAAAUGAUUUUGAAAUAUCUGUUUAUAAAUAAUGUUUAAAUUGAAUGAGUGUAGAUCUAUCAGAUAUUGUGAUAUUUUUGUUUUGUUUUCAAUUUAUAUUUAUGAUUUCUAUAGUGGUUAAUUUUCUAAUAAAGAUCAAAUCAUUUA